rnacentral:misc_RNA from 1 species
CUAUUACUCAUAUUUGCUUCAACUGUUCUUGAUUGCAACUAAAAGAUAAAAAGCUUGAAUUUAUUGGUCUAAUAUUGCACAUCUACUAAGACAAGAAAGGGAUUUGCCUCGCACAGAAUUGUUGCAAUUUCCACUUAAAGUGCUGUCAUUAAGAGCACAAUUCAACUUCAAUAAACAAUAGAAAAACACUAACUAGACUUUUUAUUUGCUAAAAAUAAAACUGACAAACUGCCACUGACUGGAAGAAUCCUGAGCCUAAAGGCAUUCUCCAGGCCCUUUUAUUUUUUUGAAGGGUAUCUCCAGAGACCUCAAUUUGUGCCACCAAGAACCUUCUUGAGCUUCUUAACCUGAGCAUCAUCGAGGAAGGUAACCAUCUCUAUUAUUUCAGAAGGCAAAUCGUUAGCGAACAAGGCAAAGUCAAGGAUCUGGAGACCUGGUCUUGCACUACUGAAGCUAACAAAUGCAAGGGCAGGAGUCCCACCUGCAUUUAUUUGGAAGUGCAAUAACCCUUGUGGAAAUACCAUAAUAUCUCCCUUCCUAAGAGAUUUGAAGUAAACAACAUUAGCAGAAGUAAUAAACCCAGCACAGAUUGACCCUUGCACCACAAUUAGGACUUCUGAAGCUCCCGGGUGGGUAUGCAUAGGAAUUACACCACCAACUGCCAAGUCUAAACGAGCCAAGGAAAUUCCAAGGCCGUUUACGCCAGGGAAUUGGUCAACAAAAGCCGGUGUCACAGCAGCUUUGAUAAGUUUUGAGAUGUUACCAGGACUUCCCAGGCCAGAGUAAACAAAAUCGUUUACUGAAACCGUAUCAGGCUUCUUGCAAGAGUAGCCCGCAGGGCCAUCAGGACCUGACAAGUCUGCGACGCAGAAGUCAUUCACUGCAGCAUAAGAAGAAGAAGAAAGGACAGAAAAGAUGACAAAGAUAUAGAGAAUCAUCUUCCUCUGCAACAAUUGGUCUAUGUUCUUUGUCGGCGCGACCAGUGGAGAUAUGCUACCAUUUAUAUAGAGUGGAAUCACAUUAAUACACAUUCAUAAAGUUAAACAAAAAUAAUGAUAAAAUUAUUAACAUAAACUUAUUAUGUCAAUAUGUAUAUGAUAAAUGGACUGAAAAUUUAUUUAAUUAAUGGUUUAUUAAUUAUAAAAAUAAGCUUGGUCUAGUGACAAAAGAUAUAUUACUUAUCUAGUACGUUCAGAUUUGAGUCCUCACUCUCUCAAUCAUCUUACCACAAAA